rnacentral:rRNA from 1 species
GUCGGGAAUUUUGCUCAAUGGGCGAAAGCCUGAAGCAGCAACGCCGCGUGAGGGAUGAAGGCCUUCGGGUCGUAAACCUCUUUUUCCGGGGACGAUAAUGACGGUACCCGGUGAAUAAGCCACGGCUAACUACGUGCCAGCAGCCGCGGUAAUACGUAGGUGGCGAGCGUUGUCCGGAUUUACUGGGCGUAAAGAGCGCGCAGGCGGUCGUAUAAGUCGAAUGUGAAAGCCCCUGGCUCAACUAGGGAGAGUCAUUCGAUACUGUUCGACUCGAAGGCAGGAGAGGGAAGUGGAAUUCCGGGUGUAGUGGUGAAAUGCGUAGAUAUCCGGAGGAACACCAGUGGCGAAGGCGACUUUCUGGCCUGUUCUUGACGCUGAGGCGCGAAAGCUAGGGGAGCAAACGGGAUUAGAAACCCGGGUAGUCC